GUGUUGUAUUGAAAGGAGAGAAGGCUAGCACUUCUCUUGACAAAAAUGGAAGAGGCCCUUGGGCCUAACAACAGGCAUACAGUUAAGGCAUUGCCUUCGACUUUGUGGCAUCUAACCACUGUUUUUA
ensembl:snRNA